rnacentral:rRNA from 1 species
UACAGAGGCCCCAAGCGUUACUGAGAAUCACUGGGUUUAAAGGGUGCGUAGGUGGCGCGUUAAGUCCGUUGUGAAAGCCCUGGGCUCAACCCAGGAACUGCUUCGGAUACUGGCGCGCUUGAGGCUAGUAGGGGUCACUGGAACUGACGGUGGAGCGGUGAAAUGCGUAGAUAUCGUCAGGAACGCCAAUGGUGAAGACAGGUGACUGGGCUAGUUCUGACACUGAGGCACUGAAAGCGUGGGGAGCGAACGGG